GCCCCCGUGGCCUAAUGGAUAAGGCAUCGGUCUCCUAAACCGGGGAUUGCGGGUUCGAGUCCCGCCGGGGGUA
rnacentral:tRNA from 2 species